UGCAGUCGAACGAUGAACCUCCUUCGGGAGGGGAUUAGUGGCGAACGGGUGAGUAACACGUGGGCAAUCUGCCCUGCACUCUGGGACAAGCCCUGGAAACGGGGUCUAAUACCGGAUACUGACCCGCUUGGGCAUCCAAGCGGUUCGAAAGCUCCGGCGGUGCAGGAUGAGCCCGCGGCCUAUCAGCUUGUUGGUGAGGUAAUGGCUCACCAAGGCGACGACGGGUAGCCGGCCUGAGAGGGCGACCGGCCACACUGGGACUGAGACACGGCCCAGACUCCUACGGGAGGCAGCAGUGGGGAAUAUUGCACAAUGGGCGAAAGCCUGAUGCAGCGACGCCGCGUGAGGGAUGACGGCCUUCGGGUUGUAAACCUCUUUCAGCAGGGAAGAAGCGAAAGUGACGGUACCUGCAGAAGAAGCGCCGGCUAACUACGUGCCAGCAGCCGCGGUAAUACGUAGGGCGCGAGCGUUGUCCGGAAUUAUUGGGCGUAAAGAGCUCGUAGGCGGCUUGUCACGUCGGUUGUGAAAGCCCGGGGCUUAACCCCGGGUCUGCAGUCGAUACGGGCAGGCUAGAGUUCGGUAGGGGAGAUCGGAAUUCCUGGUGUAGCGGUGAAAUGCGCAGAUAUCAGGAGGAACACCGGUGGCGAAGGCGGAUCUCUGGGCCGAUACUGACGCUGAGGAGCGAAAGCGUGGGGAGCGAACAGGAUUAGAUACCCUGGUAGUCCACGCCGU
rnacentral:rRNA from 1 species